rnacentral:rRNA from 1 species
GUCGAACGAUGUAACUUCCUUGGGAGGGGAUUAGUGGGGAACGGGUGAGUAACACGUGGGCAAUCUGCCCUGCACUCUGGGACAAGCCCUGGAAACGGGGUCUAAUACCGGAUACUGAUCAUCUUGGGCAUCCUUGGUGAUCGAAAGCUCCGGCGGUGCAGGAUGAGCCCGCGGCCUAUCAGCUUGUUGGUGAGGUAAUGGCUCACCAAGGCGACGACGGGUAGCCGGCCUGAGAGGGCGACCGGCCACACUGGGACUGAGACACGGCCCAGACUCCUACGGGAGGCAGCAGUGGGGAAUAUUGCACAAUGGGCGAAAGCCUGAUGCAGCGACGCCCCGUGAUGGAUGACGGCCUUCGGGUUUGUAAACCUCUUUCAGCAGGGAAGAGAGCGAAAGUGACGGUACCUGCAGAAGAAGCGCCGGCUAACUACGUGCCAGCAGCCCGCUGUAAU